rnacentral:rRNA from 1 species
CCUACGGGACGCAGCAGUGGGGAAUUUGGACAAUGGGCGCAAGCCUGAUCCAGCCAUGCCGCGUGCGGGUAGAAGGCCUCGGGUUGUAAUCCGCUUUGUCAGGAAGAAACGCUCCGGCUUAUACCCGGGUAAUGACGGUACCUGAAGAAUAAGCACCGCUAACUACGUCCCAGCAGCCGC